CCGAAGUUAAGCGUGCUUGGGCGAGAGUAGUACUAGGAUGGGUGACCUCCUGGGAAGUCCUCGUGUUGCACCCCU
rnacentral:rRNA from 2 species